UGGGGAAUAUUGGGCAAUGGGCGAAAGCCUGACCCAGCCAUGCCGCGUGAGUGAUGAAGGCCUUCGGGUCGUAAAGCUCUGUGGGAAGGGACGAAAAAAGCUGACCUAAUACGUCAGCGCUUGACGGUACCUUCUUAGCAAGCACCGGCUAACUCCGUGCCAGCAGCCGCGGUAAUACGGAGGGUGCAAACGUUGCUCGGAAUUAUUGGGCGUAAAGCGCACGUAGGCGGUUCGUUAUGUCGGAUGUGAAAGCCCUCGGCUUAACCGAGGAAGUGCAUCCGAAACUGGCGAGCUUGAGUACGGAAGAGGGUCUCGGAAUUCCCGGUGUAGAGGUGAAAUUCGUAGAUAUCGGGAGGAACACCAGUGGCGAAGGCGGAGACCUGGGCCGAUACUGACGCUG
rnacentral:rRNA from 1 species